AACCAUGUGAGGCUUGCCUGAAAAGAUGUCUUCAAAUGCCUGGUAUCAGAGAUAGAAGGACUGACUCUAGGGUGGGUCCAACAGAACUGGUUUUCCUGGAGCUUCAGUGUGGGCUCCCAGAGCAGCAGAAGGAGUCUUUUUCAUUUUACUGUAAUGUGUGAACGGCUGUAACAGAAAAGACCGACCCUCCACGGAGAAGGUGCGCAGCCAGUGACGUGCAGCUGACCACAGUGAUAUUCCUAUCAGCAAGAUAAUGACAUUGAAGUCCCAAUAUGAAUGCACCGGUGUAAGACUAAAUGAUUUUAAGGAAAACACCCCCUUUUUUUUGGAACUCGUAUUAGUGUAAAUUUGACCUUUAACUAACGUUUUUUUUUUCCAUAGAUUUCUUCUUUUUGACAUUGCUGCUUUAGUUUCAUGUAGGAACAUCUGUUAUUGCUGUGGUUGUAAUACAUCAUUGCAUUCCUGUUUGAUGUCUCUUCAAUCAGACUAUCCACUAAACCACCUAGGUUAAUUAUUUCGUUGUGAAACUGCUUUUCCUCUGUCAGCGAUCUCUGCGUCAGUUGGCACAAUCGUAUUUCCAAUGUGAAGCAAAUAUUCUGAAAUGGAAGAAUCCAGUAACCCACAAACCCAGGCCUGUGCUGUUCUGUCACCUUUGGUAUAUAUCAAAUAUAUUAUAUGUACCUAUGCUGUA